UGAAAAUUACUAGUUAAUGGUUUGUACAUUUCCAUGUAAAAAAAACCAAACAAACAAAAAACUGAGUAGCUGAGGUGGAAGGAGCAAAUGAAUAAUUGAAGGAUAAAGGUAUAGUGUAAUGGUGGACACAAACAUACACAACAAUAUUCAAAGCCGUGAUACUGUGGGGGGCAAGAUCAUGCUCCUGAGUCCACGUGUGAGCAAAACAGAGUGACUUGUAGAAGAAGAGGGAGGGACAGGUUAGGAAUAAAUCUGGACGAGGAUGUAGUGAUAGA